GCUGACGCCUGCCUGCAGGUGUCCAUUGUCUUCAGGCAGAUCCAGUCACUUAUAUUAUCUUCAGCAUGAUGAUGGUUGUCCCGAAGGAUUAACACGGACCGUUUUCCACCGAUAUGUAGAGGUUAUUUAUGACAGCUUCGCAGGCCACCUCCCAAGCUUUGCAGCAACAUCCUUAUGCGGUGACCCUGGAGGUCGCAGCACACCUGGAGGUGGCGAUAGUUUUUUCCCUGAACGCAUACCAUCCACAAAGGUCUCCACAUCAUCAAAUUUGGCUGUGAGCUCUGUGAGGCGCUCCUUGAGGGAGUUAAACUCUUUGUAAAGGUCUCCCAAGGCAUCAGACAACAGCUGGAUCCUGCAAGGAAGAACAGUUUUUCAUCUUUGAGCAAGAAAACAGAUGUCUUCUGCACUUGCAGAGUCGCCAGAUGAUUCUGUUCGAUUCAAAUGAAGACUCGUCAAGCUUAUGCUUUAUUGUUUCAAUAAAAGUUAGAGAGUAAAGAAAAAAAAAACAUCUCAUCAAAUCCCGACGCAGGUCUGAGUGACAGCAGGUGUGUUCUCACCUGCUAUAGUCGGGCAGCACAGCAUUGUGAUCAUGCAGCAGUAGAUCCUUCACCUGAGUCACGAUGGCAAACUUCCAGUUGUCUAAAACUAGUGUCAAGUUGGCACAUCCUCUGGAGUUCAGAGCGCCAUCUGGAACCAAUCAGAGAACACGAGAGACGAACAGCUCAACCUAAAGCUGGUGGCACGCGAGCGGUUUAAUGUUGACAUCCUUUUCUUAAAAAAAUUUAUGUUUCCUAAUAUCCAAAUGUUUUUCAGGCAGCCCAACUUUACAAAGUAAGAGGAAAAGUUUAACAACGGUUUUUAGUGAUUACUGGGGUAAAUACUGGCUAAAAUAGCCAUCAUUCUUACAUUAUUAUUAAAAAGAAAAAAAAAAA